rnacentral:lncRNA from 1 species
CAAGGACUGAUGGCUUAAGAAGAGAUGUCACUGAUUCUCACAAGCAAACAAAGGACAAAUGCUGACAGCUACCUUCACUUCAAUUGUUAACAAGCAAUUUCCAUCAGCUUUAGUGUGAAAUGGAUCAGCCAAUAUGAACGCAUAUUGUGAAUGACUCACCCUGUAUCAACUGUCUAUACAUGAGUAAAGCCACAUGUCCCCACACUGCUGAUAGUCUUUAUUAUGGGCUUUCUUUAAGACAUCGGAGAAAGGGCCAAGAGAACCGGGUUUACUUAUCAUGGACACGAAAAGAUGGAUGGCAACUGUGCAGAAGAUAAAGCCAGGCUUUUCUCAGAGGUGCACUAAGAGAGAAUGACGCAACAGAUGCAACUGGAAAUUCUGCUGGAAAUACCUGGAUUAGCACUGGAAAAUGUUGUCUGUAGAACCUCCAGUGUAGGGGAUUUUCAAAACUCAGCUGAACAAGGUUGUGAACAACCUGAUCUACAGUUGAAGUUCACCCUGCUUUGAGCAGGAGGUUGAACUUGGUCUUGGUGGCUUUCAGAGGUCCCAGAGGGAUAUUUAUAAAUAAACAGCAGCAGAAUGACUAACACAUUAGAAAGAAGAGCUUUUGUUACAGACAACAUCGCUGCAAAUAAUAUUAUCUUCACACACUGAUAUAGUGCAAGUUACUUUAAACAAGUAUGACACUGUCAGACAUACAAGCCCAUUAAAACAUUCUGGAACUCUUGCUAGUACUGUUUGCUAAUAAUCUUGUACACUGGACUUAUUUCAACUCAUUAGAAGCUUUAUAAGCUUAUUUUUAUAAUAUUUAUAACUAUACUUCAUGGAAAAAAAAAUGGACUACACUUCUGGAAGAAAAAGAUAAUCUGAGAAUUAAUUAAAAAAUAAAUCUUUUUAACUAUUAAAAAAAAAAAAAAAAGAAGUUUAACAAAAGCUAAAGAAUGUCUUAAAGAUAGACCUUGAUCAAUCCUUCACUUCAGCUGUGUUAGGUCUCUUGACAAUAAUUUGCUUUAGUUCUGAUGAGAGGUCCAUCUAAAAGUGUGUGGGCAAGCUGAGUAGUUUAGAGACACUUCAGAUAUGUUCAGAAAUGUUCAUAACCAAAGCACAGGCUUUCAGGAUACUGUUCUGCCCUGGUAUCUCUGUUUAUUCAUUACAAGUGUGAGUAUGUUACCAAUGAAAUAUAACUAGUUCUGUGCAACACCUUAAACCACUUUUUUCAUCUUUGCUCAAAUUGUGUCCUCCUGAAAUUUUGAUACAGCGACUUUCUUCUCAUGUGGUAAAAGUUGUAUCAUAUAAUAUUAUCAAUUACAUUCCCAAAUUGUAACAAAAUGAAUUCUCGAUGUAUUACACAUCCAAUAAAAAG